CGGGGAGGAGCUGCGGUGUCCCCACAAUCAGCUUCUGCCGGGCCGAAAACCUGUGCUGGUCCUGAA
rnacentral:SRP_RNA from 8 species